rnacentral:rRNA from 1 species
UACGGGAGGCAGCAGUGGGGAAUAUUGCACAAUGGACGAAAGCCUGAUGCAGCUAUGCCGCGUGUAUGAAGAAGGCCUUAGGGUUGUAAAGUACUUUCAUCGGGGAGGAAAAACAAAACUAAUAAUUUUAUUUCUUGACGUUACCCGAAAAAGAAGCACCGGCUAACUCCGUGCCAGCAGCCGCGGUAAUACGGAGGGUGCUAGCGUUAAUCAGAAUUACUGGGCGUAAAGAGCACGUAGGUGGUUUUUUUAAAGUCAGAUGUGAAAAUCCCUGGGCUUAACCUAGGAACUGCAUUUUUGAAAACUGAAAAUACUAGAGUAUCGUAGAGGGAGGUAGAAUUCUAGGUGUAGCGGUGAAAAUGCGUAGAUAUCUGGAGGAAUACCUGUGGCGAAAAGCGGCCUCCUAAACGAAUACUGACACUGAGGUGCGAAAAGCGUGGGGAGCAAACAGGGAUUAGAUACC